rnacentral:lncRNA from 1 species
GGCCCGAGGGGGCCUCCGUCCCACCAGCAUGAGCGAAUGAAAGGGGAGUUUGCGUCCGGUGGGGUAGAUGAGACUCUGGUUGAGCAGCAAGCAUCCUGUCGGCUCACAAGAUAAUAGCCAGCUCCCCAGAAAUGAACCUGCCCACGGUGUCCGCGCUCAGGGUAGGUGGAGCCGGGCGGAGUGGGAAGCGGGUGGAGGCCCAGGAAAAGGAUGACCUGAGAUGAAGUGAGUCUGGCCGGCCCCUGCGCCCAAGUGCUGGUCUUUGGCCGGCGGUGACCUUUACUCCAGGAACGUGACAAUCUUUCCACCUUCUCUUGGGCAGCUCAAUGUGGUGGGAACACCCAGGGAGACAUAACUGGGGGUCAGAUCCAGACACUGGAGUGGUAGAGGAUUAACUGAGGUGAUUAUGUGAUGAAAGCACCUGGCACAUAGUAGGUACCUAAUAAAUACUCAUUUUUUAAAUUUUUUUUCAGACAGGGUCUUACUCUGUCGCCCAAGCUGGAGUGCAGUGGCGCGAUCUCAGCUCACUGUAACCUCCGCCUCCCACCUCAGCCUCCCACCUCAGCCUCCCGAGUAGCUGGAAUUACAGGCAUCCACCACGCGCAGCUAAUUUUUGUAUUUUUGGUAGAGAAUACUGUUGGCCAGGCUGGUCUCGAACUCCUGGCCUCAAGUGAUCUGCCCGCCUUGGCCUCCCAAAGUGCUGGGAUUACAGGGGUGAGCCA